GAGAGAUUGAGCCGUAAGAAGAAAAAAAAGAGAGAAAACCGAGAGAGACAAUGAGAGAGUUCCUAGAGAGACAAAGUUCAAAACUGGUCAAAUUUUGAAAAAGAAGAAGUGAAGAAGGUGAUCAAGCGCGUGACCAGGCCUAGAGCUUUUGCCUGGAUUCUGUUUUUGUUAGCCAACCUAUGUGCCUCCCGGGGAGGUUUCGAAUAUGUCAAGUGGUCAUGGAUAUGUGAUUAAAGUUUAAGUUUUUGUUUUCUUGUUUUGUUUAUUUUGUAAAUAGAGCUAAGUUUCCUUCUUGUCUUAUCUGUAGAAAUGUAAUGACGUAAGGGUAAUGUAUGAUAUAUAUAUAAUUAAAGUUUAAAAUUUUUCUGUCU